GAACUUUUCCCUGUCAAGAUUUUGUAAAUCUUCAAGAUAUUGAUGCCUUCGCCAGAUCCAAUUCUUUGCUAUCUACUUUGUGUCACAACAGCAAGAAAAUGCUGCCACUCAAAGAUUUUGUGGUGAUCGCCACUUAGUUCUAAUUUAGGAGGACAAUGUAAAAUUGAUAGAUUUGAGGUUAAUCCCUCUCCUCUGUUUUGGAAACCGAUGAGAGAUUUCUGGAAUGGGAGACUGAUAAUUUGUGUAGAUGUAGAUAAAUUACAAGUGCAUAUCUGGGCUCCCUUCUUUUCUGUGGCCCCGUUUCCCUUAGUUACUAACCAAAAACCAACUCCCGCCGGUGGUCACUCACUCGCUGUACGUACUAACCAGGAGGGCGCUGGUCGAGCGGGGACUACUUGGAAGGCUCAUAAUUUGAUGAAAAAUGGAGGGUCAUUAGUCUAACCAGAAAUAUGACUAUGACUAAGCGCUCCCUAGCAAAACUGGGCACACCUCUCUCUUCUUCGCUGGCCAAGUAAUAUUCUUUGUCGGAGUCAAUCAAGAUAGUGUCUUCCCCCGUCCUUGAUUGACGGUACCUGCAAGUCG